UACAGAGGUGGCAAGCGUUGUCCGGAAUUAUUGGGCGUAAAGAGCUCGUAGGUGGCUUGUCACGUCGGGUGUGAAAGCUUGGGGCUUAACUCCAGGUCUGCAUUCGAUACGGGCUGGCUAGAGGUAGGUAGGGGAGAACGGAAUUCCUGGUGUAGCGGUGAAAUGCGCAGAUAUCAGGAGGAACACCGGUGGCGAAGGCGGUUCUCUGGGCCUUACCUGACGCUGAGGAGCGAAAGCGUGGGGAGCGAACAGG
rnacentral:rRNA from 1 species